AAAUAAAACUUAAUACAAACCAGCAUGUUUUCAUGUCAAGUUCACAUCUUCUACCGCAACAUUACUACAGUUACUAAUUUCUACGUGAAUGAAAUAAGGGAUUAAAAACAUUGAACCUGGCGUCAUUCUGAACCCUAAGGCUCACCAACAUAACAUUUUUCGACGGCUAUAGACUAACUGACUCUUUAAUUUGAGUCCUUGACUGAAUGUGUCAAAAAUAUCGCAUCACUGAAUGUCCUCUCUUGUGGGGAAAAAAAUAGAAAUAUAGCGCUCCUCCAGUUCUCACAACCAAAUAAACGAGGAAAUAUCUUUAAGUAAUAGAUUUUGAUUUUAGUGUCUUAAUCGUCAGAGACUUAAACCUUUUGUUUCUGGCAACAUAUUUUGCAAUGCUAACAUAAGUUUUUUUUCUAUUUUCCCCACACUAAGAUGGCCGGAGAAGGGAAUUCGCCUCAGCUUCCGUCGCCGCCACCUCCAUUGUUGGAGGACCAAUCGGAGUUAUUGCCAAACCUGAUGACCCAAACUGUGCGGUGAGUAGGGUUGCGGCGAGCGCGGAGGCAGCCCGCUUCGUCACGUUCCUCUUGACGAACCCUGGGGAGUUGAGCAGGGUGGAACAGGCCCAAAGGGCGGCAUUAUCCGCCAGGGCCGCCGCCGAGGCCUCACGCAAGAUCGCAGACGCCUCGGGGACUGUGGAGGACGUCAGGCUUGCCGAAAUUGCUGAAAAAAAUGCUUAUGUAUGCGAAUCCCUCGUCCCUCUCUUUUCUAAGAAUAAAAGCUAACAAUUCAAAGUCA